AACGAACGCUGGCGGCAUGCCUAACACAUGCAAGUCGAACGAGACCUUCGGGUCUAGUGGCGCACGGGUGCGUAACGCGUGGGAACCUGCCUUUAGGUUCGGAAUAACUCAGAGAAAUUUGAGCUAAUACCGAAUGAUGUCUUCGGACCAAAGAUUUAUCGCCUUUAGAUGGGCCCGCGUUGGAUUAGCUCGUUGGUGGGGUAAAGGCCUACCAAGGCGACGAUCCAUAGCUGGUCUGAGAGGAUGAUCAGCCACACUGGGACUGAGACACGGCCCAGACUCCUACGGGAAGCAGCAGUGGGGAAUAUUGGACAAUGGGCGAAAGCCUGAUCCAGCAAUGCCGCGUGAGUGAUGAAGGCCUUAGGGUUGUAAAGCUCUUUUACCCGAGAUGAUAAUGACAGUAUCGGGAGAAUAAGCUCCGGCUAACUCCGUG
rnacentral:rRNA from 1 species